rnacentral:tRNA from 1 species
GGGCGAUUAGCUCAGUUGGUUCAGAGCAUCUGCCUUACAAGCAGAGGGUCGGCGGUUCGACCCCGUCAUCGCCCACCA